rnacentral:rRNA from 1 species
GAUGAACGCUGACAGAAUGCUUAACACAUGCAAGUCUUUGGCGAAGCUGUGCUUGCACCGCUAGCCAAGGCGGACGGGUGAGUAACGCGUAAGGAACUUGCCCUGCAGUCAGGGAUAACAGACGGAAACGACUGAUAAGACCUGGUAAAGUCAGGCGGACUCAUGUCCAGCCUGAUGAAAAGAGAUGCUGCAGGAGAGCCUUGCGUCCUAUUAGCUUGUUGGUGGGGUAACGGCCCACCAAGGCGAUGAUAGGUAGCCGGCCUGAGAGGGUGGACGGCCACAAGGGGACUGAGAUACGGCCCUUACUCCUACGGGAGGCAGCAGUGGGGAAUAGUGGACAAUGGGGGCAACCCUGAUCCAGCAAUUCUGUGUGCACGAUGAAGGUUUUCGGAUUGUAAAGUGCUUUCAGCAGGGAAGAAAAAAAUGACGGUACCUGCAGAAGAAGCGACGGCUAAAUACGUG